rnacentral:rRNA from 1 species
AGAAAUAAAGGUGGCGUGGUGCAUAAUACAUGCGAGUCGAACGAAUUUAAACCUGAAUUUCAUUUUUGAGUUCAGGUUUCAUUUUGUGGCGUCCGGGUGAGUAACACGUGAGAAUCAACCUUUAGGUAAAGCGUAACCGUUAGAAAUGAUGGGUAAUACUUUAUACGCUGAGAAGCAAAGCGCACGCGCCUAGAGACGAGCUCGCGCCUGAUUAGCUUGUUGGUGGGUUAAAAGCCUACCAAGGCGACGAUCAGUAACUGGUUUGAGAUGACGACCAGUCACAUUAGAACUGAAACACGGUCUAGACUCCUAUGGGAGGCAGCAGUAAGGAAUCUUUCACAAUGGGCGAAAGCCUGAUGGAGCAACCUCGCGUGGAGGCUAAGUUUUACGAAAUGUAAACUCCUUUUAUUGCUCAGGAUAGUGACCAGGCAAUGAAUAAGCAUUGGCUAAAUCUGUGCCAGCAGCCGCGGUAAUACAGGUAAUGCAACCUUUUUUCGGAAUGAUUGGGCGUAAAGAGCAGGUAGGCGGUUUCAAAAGUCAUUUGUUAAAGGCUGAGACUCAACCUCAGUAGGGCAAAUGAAACUUUGAAGCUUGAGAUUGGUAGGGGUGCAGGGAACAGCAUUGGGAGCGGUGAAAUGUUUAGAUCAAUGUUAGAACACCGAUGGCGAAGGCACUGUGCUGGGCCAAAUACUGACGCUGAGAUGCGAAAGCCAGAGUAGCAAAGCGGAUUAGAUACCCGCGUAGUUCUGUGCCGUAAACGAUGACAACUAAGGGUCGGUUAAAGCUCAGAUGAUUAAGUUCAUGUAAGUGCGAUCGGUCCUGUAGCUAACGCGUUAAGUUGUCCGCCUGGGGAGUACGAGCGCAAGCUUAAAACUCAAAGAAAUAGACGGGGGCUUACACAAGUAGUGGAUUAUGUGGUUUAAUUCGAUCCUACGCGAAGAACCUUACCAGGGUUUGAACUUAUGCGCAACCGUGGGAAACCAUGGGGUAAACGCUGAGCAAAGCGGUUCAGAAGUCUUCGGACUUCAUUGAUCACGGAAUCAUCCGUGCGCUCGUAAGGCAUAUUAAAUAGUGCAUGGUUGUCGUCAGUUCGUGUCGUAAGACGUAAGAUUAAGUUCUGUAACGAACGAAACCCUUGUGGUUAGUUAUACUGAAAACUCUAGCCAGACUGCCAGUUACAAACUGGAGGAAGGAGAGGACGACGUCAAAUCAUCAUGCUUUUUAAGUCCUGGGCGACACACGUAAUACAAUGGACGAAACUUAAAGGGAUGCAAACUCGAAAGGGUAAGCCAAGCUCAAAAAUUCGUUCUUAGUUCGGAUCGUUGGCUGCAACUCGCCAACGUGAAGCCGGAAUUACUAGUAAUCGCAGAUCAGCCAUGCUGCGGUGAAUACUGUUCCUAAGCCUUGUACUCAUAGCCCGUCACAUCGGGAGAAUUGGUUUUAGCCGUAGUCCUUGUUUAAGGCCGAAGUUAAGACGAGUGAUUCUGAUGAAGUCGGAACAAAGUAAGG